rnacentral:rRNA from 1 species
GGAAAGGUGAAAAGAACCCCGAACAGGGGAGUGAAAUAGAACCUGAAACCAUACGCUUACAACCUGUCGGAGCGGCUUCGUGCCGUGACGGCGUGCCUAUUGAAUAAUGAGCCUACGAGUUACUAAUCACUGGCGAGGUUAAGUGCACGGAUGCACGGAGCCGAAGCGAAAGCGAGUCUUAAUAGGGCGUUUAGUCAGUGGUUGUAGACGCGAAACCUUGCGAUCUACCCUUGAGCAGGUUGAAGGUUGGGUAAAACCAACUGGAGGACCGAACGAAUAAGCGUUGAAAAGCUUCUCGAUGACUUGAGGGUAGGGGUGAAAGGCUAAUCAAGCUGGGAAAUAGCUCGUACUCCCCGAAAUGCCUUUUGGGGCAGCGUUGUAAUAAAGAGUCUACUGGAGGUAGAGCUACUGAUUGGAUGCGGGGGCUUCACCGCCUACCAAAUCCUGACAAACUCCGAAUGCCAGUAGUAUGAUUUACAGCAGUGAGUGACUGGGUGCUAAUGUCCAGUCGCAAAAGAGGAACAACUCAGACCAGCAACUAAGGUCCCGAAGAAUAUGCUAAGUUGAUCUAACGAUGUUUUGUUGCAGAGACAGCUAGGAUGUUAGCUUGGAAGCAGCUAUUCAUUCAAAGAGUGCGUAACAGCUCACUAGUCGAGCGACAGAGCGUGGAUAAUAAACGGGCAUCAAGCAUAUCACCGAAGUUCUGGGCGCGAGAGCGCGGUAGGGGAGCAUUCCAUUCAGCGUCGAAGCAGUUUCGUGAGGAAUUGUGGAGCGUAUGGAAAAGCAAAUGUAGGCAUGAGUAACGAUAAUGCGGGAGAGUAACCCGCACACCGCAAGACCAAGGUUUCCUGAUCAACGCUAAUCGGAUCAGGGUUAGUCGGGUCCUAAGGGUAAGCCGAACGGCGAUCUCGAUGGAUAAUCGGUUAAUAUUCCGAUACUGACAUAUACCUCGAUGGAGAGACGAAGGAACGUAAGUGCCGCCACCUGACGGAAUAGGUGGUUAAAGGGCGUAGGUAUAGGGGCAGAUUAAGAGUUAGUCCUUGCUGAAACCUGACAGUACAGAGAGCCUACGGGCAAUUUGAUAGUGCACCCAAGUCGACUUCCGAGAAAAUCUUCUAAGUUAUAGUAUAUGUCACCCGUACCGUAAACCGACACAGGUGGUCGAGGAGAGUAUCCUAAGGUGCUCGAGUGAAUCACGGUUAAGGAACUAGGCAAAUUAACCCCGUAACUUCGGGAAAAGGGGUCCCUAUGAAAGUAGGGCGCAGCGAAGAGGUCCAGGCGACUGUUUAUCAAAAACACAGGGCUCUGCAAAUUCGAAAGAAGAAGUAUAGGGCCUGACACCUGCCCGGUGCUGGAAGGUUAAGAGGGGAUGUCAUCGCAAGAGAAGCAUUGAAUCGAAGCCCCAGUAAACGGCGGCCGUAACUAUAACGGUCCUAAGGUAGCGAAAUUCCUUGUCGGGUAAGUUCCGACCUGCACGAAUGGUGUAACGAUCUGGACACUGUCUCAACCGUGAGCUCGGUGAAAUUGUAGUCCCGGUGAUGAUGCCGGGUACCCGCAACGGGACGAAAAGACCCCGUGAACCUUUACUAUAGCUUAACGCUGAAUUUGGGUACACAAUGUGUAGGAUAGGC